CAGUAGCCGCGGGAAUACAGAGGGUGCAAGCGUUAAUCGGAAUUACUGGGCGUAAAGCGCGCGUAGGUGGUUUGUUAAGUCUGUUGUGAAAUCCCCGGGCUCAACCUGGGAAUGGCAAUGGAUACUGGCAAGCUAGAGUGUGUCAGAGGAUGGUGGAAUUCCCGGUGUAGCGGUGAAAUGCGUAGAGAUCGGGAGGAACAUCAGUGGCGAAGGCGGCCAUCUGGGACAACACUGACGCUGAGGCACGAAAGCGUGGGGAGCAAACAGGAUUAGAUACCCCAGUAGUCCCUGUCUCUUAUAU
rnacentral:rRNA from 1 species